UCUUUCAGUGGACGAACUUGUCCAGCAGACUGGGAGACCCUCAACAACCCCCUCGGAAAAAAAAUAACACGAUCAAACUGAUGGAUAGCGGGAGAGUUGCGCUAAAUAUCCAGCAGACAGCCUGGCAGGUGGGCUGGCAGCCAGGCAGAAUAGCAGUAGGCUGGCAGGCGUAGCCCAGGGCAGCAUCUCCUGCAGAGCCAGCUCUGACCAGCUGGUCCAGACCAACGCCACACACCUGCCACAUCCACCUGAGAGUCGAAGGCCGUCUGCUGCUGCCGCCAGCCUCCCCGGUUCAGGUGCUCCUUCCCGGAUCUCCACAACUGGGCACGUGCCUGUUGCUGGGACAUCAACAGGACUGUGCUUAAACCAGAAGUAACGUUACAGUUGUGUUUCCGGUAGACGUUUUCAAAAUAAAAGACUUGACAUCGUU